UCUUUACUUUUACAAUGUUUUUCCACCUAUCACCAACAUUGAAUGGCUCACUAAGCCUGGAAUCCCUUUUUGCUCCUGCUUUUGAAUCUCUGCAGUUCAUCUGGUUUCGUCUUGUUUCAAGAAUAUUGAAGAAAGACAGAAGCCAAGAACUUUGAUUACCCCUAGUGCUUCAUUCUUCUGGGCUCCACACUUCUUGCCAGAAGAGAGCUAUGCAGUGGGGGAUCUUGGCUCUCUUAGCCCUCUUGCCUUUGCUCCAUGGGGAUUCAUCCAUCACCCAAGUUUCUCCAGCACAGAAUGAUGUCGCCAAACAAGAGGAAAUCAAUAAAAAAUCUAGUUUAAAUUUGGAUUUGAAUUCUAACCCUGAAUUUGUUGAGGAAUUGAGUGAAGAAACCAUUAAAGGAGAUCCCACUGGAAAAGCCAGUACGGAAAACACAGGAAAACCAGACAAAAAACUUGAAGUAUCCAGAGAGUAUGCAAUUUGGGAGCACAGUAUUGAUUACAACUGGGAAUACAAUGAAGAUUUUACCUGGGAAUUUAGUGGACAGUCAAUUGCAGAAUACAAUGAGGAGGUAACUGAUGAUUCUAGCCUUGGAAUGACAGUGGUCAACACAACUAGCACGAAGACGGUAUCGGUUGUGACAACAGAGCCAACUCCUAUUCCUUAGAGAAGAAUGUGAACUGAUCAGCAGACCUCUUUUCUGGCAUCAGAAGAAACUGGAUGGUUAUUAUUAUACAGUUUUGAUUCAUAGUUCAUAGGUGGGAGGGAUUGACUUUCCAAUUUUUCUCUCUAUAUGGAUGACACAGAAGGGCAUGGAACCAGCCUUGCCUGUACCAAGUAUAGAAUUGCUCAGGAUGUGUGUCUUAAACAGUCAGGUACCUGUGCAGUAGGAGACAAGUUGCCUUCAGCGUUCUUAGAACUCUUCCACAGACCCUAUUUACCCAAAUAGGCUGGACAAGCUUCCCAGAUACCAUGUUGCUAUCUGGCUACUUCUGGUUCCUGCAUUCACUCUUAAGUCUAGAUGCAAAAAAGAGAAGAUUAUCCUUCUUUUCCCCUCCUCCCCAGCACUUUUAAAAAGGAGGCAAAAGAAUUCUGUGGUGUUCCUGCUCUUCCCUUACAUUAUUUUUAAAAAUUUAAUUUAAUUUCAAAAUAAAUAUUUUUGGUGAUGUCUUUUGAAAAUAUUAUUGUGAACAAGGAACCACCCUGAUACACACUCUUAUAGCUCAUAAAACCCUUUUGUGUAACAAAAUAUAGUUCAGCAAAACAAAGCAAUGUAUUGGCCCUGUUUAAUAGUAUGUGGCUCUUUCUCCACAUUUUUGUUGAGAGAAGCUUCAUAGAUAGAUCUUUGAAGUCCAGUUUUGUCCCUGCAGUAUCAGUCUUCUGAUGCCUUUUUGUGUUGAUUUUCUUGACAUGAUUGUAACCAUUUGCACAAAUUGGCUUUGGUUCUGCUUACUUCCUUUUGCUUCAGUUCAUACAGGGCUUCCCCAAUUUCUUUGAGUUCUUCAUAUUUGUUGUGUCUUAUACAGCAAUAAUACUCCAUGACUCCAUUGCCAUAUUGGUCAGACAUCCCUUCCAAUCUUGCUUCCAGUUCUUUGUAAAGGCAGAACGUGCUAUUAUAAAUGUACCUUUCUCCUCUCUUUGAGUUUCUGAGGAUUUAUGUACAUUAAUAUUGCUUGGCCUUUCUCUUAUUCUUCCAAACUUUCCCAGGCCUUUGAAUAAUAAUAUGAAUAGGUUUCUUCAAAAAGGUCCUGAAUUUUUGUGAUUUCCUCUGGACCUGCACAUCUUUUCUUUGCAUUUAGAAAAUGUAUCAUCGAACUUAUUUUGCAUCUGUUUUUUUUUUUUUUGGAGAGAGGAUAACACAAUUUCUAGUUCCCUUCAUCUUCUCAUUAAAUAUCCCCUUCCCCAAGAAACAAAAAAGAAAAAAUACAAUCCUUGUAACAAAUAAAUGUAGUUAAGCAAAAUCAAUCCGUGUGUUUGCCAUGUACAGAAAAUGUGUGUCUCAUUGUCUCCAUUGGUCUAUUAUUUCUCUGUCAAGUGAUGGGUACCAUUUUUUUCAAUGGUCCUUUGGAAUGAUGGUCAGUCAUUGCACUGAUAAAAAUUCUGAAGCCUUUCAAAGUUCUCUUUCUUUACAGUGUUCUUGUUGCUAUAUAAAUUGUUCUGAUUCUGCUCAUUUCCCUCUGCAACAAGUCUUCCCAAGUUUAUCUGAAAUUGUCCUGUCUAUCAUUUCUUGCAAUCUAAUAAUAUUCUAUUAUAGAAGCAUACCAUACUUUUGUUAGUCAUUAUCCAAUUCAUAGGUACCACUUCUUUGUUUUUUUCUUUGCUACAACAAAAAAUUUUGAAAUACAUAUUACAUGUAGAGUCUUUUCUUUAUUUCAUCUCUUUGGAAUAUUGACUUAAUAGUGAUAUGAGAGAGAAUAGCCAUUUUUGGGAUAUAGGCUCAAUGAUACUUCUAUUUAAGAGAUCAAAGAAAAAGGAAAAAGAACUUUAGUAACCCUUAUGUACAAAAAUAUUAAUGGCAAUUCCUUUUUGUAGUUCACCAAAAAACAAAGUGAAAUACCUACCUAUUGGAAAAAUAUUAAAAUAACUAUGGCAUGUGAAUAUAAUGGAAUAUCAUUGUGUGCUUCAAGAAAAGACAAAAUCAAUAGUUUCAGAGGAAACUAUGAAAUAAUGCCAAAUGAUAUGCAUAGAACUAAAAGAGCUAGAGGCAUUUAUACCAUGACAGCAAUAUCAAGUUAAAAAAAAAACAACUUUGAAAGACAAACUCAUUAAUGUGGGAAUUUGUUUUGCUGAAUCACAUCAAUUUAUUUUUUUCUUACAUUAUUGCUCAAUGGAGGAACUAUAGGAAGCAAAGAUAACAAAUGAUCAUAAAAUAAUUAGUUUUUAAAAAAUGAAAUAGAUAUGAAUCAAAUAACCAAAUGUUGAUUUCAAGUUCAGUGUCUUGUAAAUAACUUAUAAAGUCAGAGACAUUUUGUGACCUUCAAGAUAAAUAAAUGAAUAAAAAUCACUUUAAAGAUGCUUAACUAUGUGCUAAGUAUUGUCUUAUGUGAUGAGAGUUUUUGUUUUUUGUAUUUUACAUUUUAAUGAGAGAAACAACACAUGUAAGGGAGUAAUGGUGAGGAAGAGCAUUUCAGCUCAGAAAGCAACAGGAAUGGUGAAUAGAGAUAGAAGGAAGUAGAUGGCACACUUCAUCAAAAAAAGAAAAUAGAGUUGAGCUGAUCAUGGUUAGUGGAGCCAAGAUCAUGGUUAGUGAAUCCAGAGAUGAAGAGAGUGGAAUAAGGAAACAAUAGUCCAAUGCCAGCAAAAUGGUGUUGGCAAAAAAAGUUGUAGAAGAGAUGGUUGAAAUAAAAGAAAAAUAAAGAAUGCCUUUGGUGUUGAGUUGUUUCAUUCAUGUCCAACUCUCUGUGACCCAUUUGGG
ensembl:lncRNA